rnacentral:rRNA from 1 species
UACGGAGGGUGCGAGCGUUGUCCGGAUUUAUUGGGUUUAAAGGGUACGUAGGCGGCUCAUUAAGUCAGUGGUGAAAUCCUAAGGCUCAACCUUGGAACUGCCAUUGAAACUGGUAAGCUUGAGUGUCGUGGGGGUAAGCGGAAUUCCCUGUGUAGCGGUGAAAUGCAUAGAUAUGGGGAGGAACCUCGAUAGCGAAGGCAGCUUACUGUACGACAACUGACGCUGAUGUACGAAAGCGUGGGUAGCGAACAGG